GCAUAGGGUCCACCCGUUCCCAUUCCGAACACGGAAGUUAAGCUAUGCGGUGCCGAAAAUACUCGACUGGAAGCGGUCCGGGAAGAUAGGGCGAGGCCAACU
rnacentral:rRNA from 1 species